rnacentral:snoRNA from 1 species
AACUCAUGCUGUGGACACUGACGAAUCAACCCCUUAUAGCUUUCCCAAGCCUCAUAGUAGCACUUCAAGUCAAGCUGAUAGAAUGUAGUGAUUUCAUCCCUCAACUU